GUAGUCUGCAACUCGACUACAUGAAGCUGGAGUCGCUAGUAAUGGCAGGUCAGCAUACUGCCGUGAAUACGUUCCCGGGCCUUGUACACACCGCCCGUCACACCAUGAGAGUUGGGAAUACCCGAAGCCUGUGAGCUAACGUUAAGAGGCAGCAGUCGAAGGUAGAAUCAAUGAUUGGGGUGAAGUCGUAACAAGGUAAC
rnacentral:rRNA from 1 species